GGGUUGUGAGGUUAAGCGACUAAGCGUACACGGUGGAUGCCCUGGCAGUCAGAGGCGAUGAAGGACGUGCUAAUCUGCGAAAAGCGUCGGUAAGGUGAUAUGAACCGUUAUAGCCGGCGAUGUCCGAAUGGGGAAACCCAGUGCAAUUCGUUGCACUAUCGUUAACUGAAUACAUAGGUUAACGAGGCGAACCGGGGGAACUGAAACAUCUAAGUACCCCGAGGAAAAGAAAUCAACCGAGAUUCCCCCAGUAGCGGCGAGCGAACGGGGAGCAGCCCGGAGUCUGAAUCAGCUUGUGUGUUAGUGGAAGCGUCUGGAAAGUCGCAGGGUACAGGGUGAUACUCCCGUACACUAAAACACACAGGCUGUGAACUCGAAGAGUAGGGCGGGACACGUGGUAUCCUGUCUGAAUAUGGGGGGACCAUCCUCCAAGGCUAAAUACUCCUGACUGACCGAUAGUGAACCAGUACCGUGAGGGAAAGGCGAAAAGAACCCCGGCGAGGGGAGUGAAAAAGAACCUGAAACCGUGUACGUACAAGCAGUAGGAGCCUCUUUAUGGGGUGACUGCGUACCUUUUGUAUAAUGGGUCAGCGACUUAUAUUCUGUAGCAAGGUUAACCGUAUAGGGGAGCCGCAGGGAAACCGAGUCUUAACUGGGCGUUAAGUUGCAGGGUAUAGACCCGAAACCCGGUGAUCUAGCCAUGGGCAGGUUGAAGGUUGGGUAACACUAACUGGAGGACCGAACCGACUAAUGUUGAAAAAUUAGCGGAUGACUUGUGGCUGGGGGUGAAAGGCCAAUCAAACCGGGAGAUAGCUGGUUCUCCCCGAAAGCUAUUUAGGUAGCGCCUCGUGAACUCAUCUUCGGGGGUAGAGCACUGUUUCGGCUAGGGGGUCAUCCCGACUUACCAACCCGAUGCAAACUACGAAUACCGAAGAAUGUUAUCACGGGAGACACACGGCGGGUGCUAACGUCCGUCGUGAAGAGGGAAACAACCCAGACCGCCAGCUAAGGUCCCAAAGUCAUGGUUAAGUGGGAAACGAUGUGGGAAGGCCCAGACAGCCAGGAUGUUGGCUUAGAAGCAGCCAUCAUUUAAAGAAAGCGUAAUAGCUCACUGGUCGAGUCGGCCUGCGCGGAAGAUGUAACGGGGCUAAACCAUGCACCGAAGCUGCGGCAGCGACACUAUGUGUUGUUGGGUAGGGGAGCGUUCUGUAAGCCGUUGAAGGUGGCCUGUGAGGGUUGCUGGAGGUAUCAGAAGUGCGAAUGCUGACAUAAGUAACGAUAAUGCGGGUGAAAAACCCGCACGCCGGAAGACCAAGGGUUCCUGUCCAACGUUAAUCGGGGCAGGGUGAGUCGACCCCUAAGGCGAGGCCGAAAGGCGUAGUCGAUGGGAAACAGGUUAAUAUUCCUGUACUCGGUGUUACUGCGAAGGGGGGACGGAGAAGGCUAUGUUGGCCGGGCGACGGUUGUCCCGGUUUAAGCAUGUAGGCGGAUGUUCCAGGUAAAUCCGGAACGUUAUUAACGCUGAGGUGUGAUGACGAGGCACUACGGUGCUGAAGUGACAAAUGCCCUGCUUCCAGGAAAAGCCUCUAAGCAUCAGGUAACAUCAAAUCGUACCCCAAACCGACACAGGUGGUCAGGUAGAGAAUACCAAGGCGCUUGAGAGAACUCGGGUGAAGGAACUAGGCAAAAUGGUGCCGUAACUUCGGGAGAAGGCACGCUGAUGGUAAGUGAAGUGACUUGCUCAUGGAGCUGAAAUCAGUCGAAGAUACCAGCUGGCUGCAACUGUUUAUUAAAAACACAGCACUGUGCAAACACGAAAGUGGACGUAUACGGUGUGACGCCUGCCCGGUGCCGGAAGGUUAAUUGAUGGGGUUAUCCGUAAGGAGAAGCUCUUGAUCGAAGCCCCGGUAAACGGCGGCCGUAACUAUAACGGUCCUAAGGUAGCGAAAUUCCUUGUCGGGUAAGUUCCGACCUGCACGAAUGGCGUAAUGAUGGCCAGGCUGUCUCCACCCGAGACUCAGUGAAAUUGAACUCGCUGUGAAGAUGCAGUGUACCCGCGGCAAGACGGAAAGACCCCGUGAACCUUUACUAUAGCUUGACACUGAACACUGGUCCUUGAUGUGUAGGAUAGGUGGGAGGCUUUGAAGUGUGGACGCCAGUCUGCAUGGAGCCAUCCUUGAAAUACCACCCUUUAAUGGCUGGUGUUCUAACGUGGGCCCGUUAUCCGGGUUGCGGACAGUGUCUGGUGGGUAGUUUGACUGGGGCGGUCUCCUCCUAAAGAGUAACGGAGGAGCACGAAGGUCAGCUAAUCCUGGUCGGACAUCAGGAGGUUAGUGCAAUGGCAUAAGCUGGCUUGACUGCGAGCGUGACGGCGCGAGCAGGUGCGAAAGCAGGUCAUAGUGAUCCGGUGGUUCUGAAUGGAAGGGCCAUCGCUCAACGGAUAAAAGGUACUCCGGGGAUAACAGGCUGAUACCGCCCAAGAGUUCAUAUCGACGGCGGUGUUUGGCACCUCGAUGUCGGCUCAUCACAUCCUGGGGCUGAAGUAGGUCCCAAGGGUAUGGCUGUUCGCCAUUUAAAGUGGUACGCGAGCUGGGUUUAGAACGUCGUGAGACAGUUCGGUCCCUAUCUGCCGUGGGCGCUGGAGAAUUGAGGGGGGCUGCUCCUAGUACGAGAGGACCGGAGUGGACGCAUCACUGGUGUUCGGGUUGUCAUGCCAAUGGCAUUGCCCGGUAGCUAAAUGCGGAAGAGAUAAGUGCUGAAAGCAUCUAAGCACGAAACUUGCCCCGAGAUGAGUUCUCCCUGACUCCUUGAGAGUCCUGAAGGAACGUUGAAGACGACGACGUUGAUAGGCCGGGUGUGUAAGCGCAGCGAUGCGUUGAGCUAACCGGUACUAAUGAACCGUGAGGCUUAACCUUACAACGCCGAAG
rnacentral:rRNA from 1 species